rnacentral:rRNA from 1 species
UACGUAGGAUGCUAGCGUUGUCCGGAUUUACUGGGCGUAAAGCGCGCGCAGGCGGCACUGUAAGUAAGGUGUGAAAUAUCCCUGCUCAACGGGGAGGGUGCACUUUAGACUGCAGAGCUAGAGGACGGUUGAGGGGGGUGGAAUUGCUGGUGUAGCGGUGAAAUGCGUAGAGAUCAGCAGGAACACCCGUGGCUAAGGCGGCUCUCUAGUACGGUACUGACGCUGAGACGCGAAAGCGUGGGGAGCGGACAGG